rnacentral:rRNA from 1 species
CCUACGGGGGGCAGCAGUGGGGAAUAUUGGACAAUGGGGGGAACCCUGAUCCAGCCAUGCCGCGUGUGUGAAGAAGGCCCUCGGGUUGUAAAGCACUUUCAGUGAGGAAGAACGCCUGGUGGUUAAUACCCAUCAGGAAAGACAUCACUCACAGAAGAAGCACCGGCUAACUCCGUGCCAGCAGCCGCGGUAAUACGGAGGGUGCGAGCGUUAAUCGGAAUUACUGGGCGUAAAGCGCGCGUAGGUGGCUUGAUAAGCCGGUUGUGAAAGCCCCGGGCUCAACCUGGGAACGGCAUCCGGAGCUGUCAAGCUAGUGUGCAGGAGAGGUAGGUAGAAUUCCCGGUGUAGCGGUGAAAUGCGUAGAGAUCGGGAGGAAUACCAGUGGCGAAGGCGGCCUUCUGGACUGACACUGACACUGAGGUGCGAAAGCGUGGGUAGCAAACAGGAUUAGAUACCCGAGUAGUC